GAUGAACGCUAGCGGCAGGCUUAAUACAUGCAAGUCGUGGGGCAGCAGGGGUGUAGCAAUACAUCUGCUGGCGACCGGCAAACGGGUGCGUAACACGUACGCAACCUUCCCGUUACUGUGGCAUAGCCCAGGGAAACUUGGAUUAAUACCACAUAUUAUAUAGAGAGGGCAUCCUUUUUAUAUCAAAGCUUCGGCGGUAACGGAUGGGCGUGCGGUUGAUUAGGUAGUUGGCGGGGUAACGGCCCACCAAACCUACGAUCAAUAGCUGAUGUGAGAGCAUGAUCAGCAACACGGGCACUGGGACACGGGCCCGACUCCUACGGGAGGCAGCAGUAAGGAAUAUUGGGCAAUGGACGAAAGUCUGACCCAGCCAUGCCGCGUGGAGGAUUAAGGUCCUCUGGAUUGUAAACUUCUUUUCUCUGGGGCGAAAACCAGCUAUUCUUAGCUAUUUGACAGUACCAGAGGAAUAAGCACCGGCUAACUCCGUGCCAGCAGCCGCGGUAA
rnacentral:rRNA from 1 species